GUUCAUUGGGCAACAUGGAGGUCUCCGUGCUCGGGUGCCGCUCUGUGUCUCCAUGCUGGACAUGGUGUCAGGUAAUGUCUCUACAUGAAUCUACUUCCCGGUUUGUUCACUGGGCAACAUGGACGUCUCCGUGCUCGGGGUGCUGCUCUGGGUCUCUAUGCUGGACAUGGUGUCAGGUAAUGUCUCUACAUGAAUCUACUUCCUGGUUUGUUCACUGGGCAACAUGGAGGUCUCCGUGCUCGGGGUGCUGCUCUGUGUCUCCAUGCUGGACAUGGUGUCAGGUAAUGUCUCUACAUGAAUCUACUUCCUGGUUUGUUCACUGGGCAACAUGGACGUCUCCAUGCUCGGGGUGCUGCUCUGUGUCUCCAUGCUGGACAUGGUGUCAGGUAAUGUCUCUACAUGAAUCUACUUCCUGGUUUGUUCAUUGGGCAACAUGGAGGUCUCCGUGCUCGGGGUGCUGCUCUGUGUCUCCAUGCUGGACAUGGUGUCAGGUAAUGUCUCUACAUGAAUCUACUUCCCGGUUUGUUCACUGGGCAACAUGGAGGUAUCCGUGCUCGGGGUGCUGUUCUGUGUCUCCAUGCUGGACAUGGUGUCAGGUAAUGUCUCUACAUGAAUCUACUUCCUGGUUUGUUCACUGGACAACAUGGACGUCUCCUCACUCCUCACGCUGAAGUCCCGGGUUCGAUAUAUGUGAAGCCGAUUUCUGGAGUCCCGUGCCAUGAUAUUGCUAAAAGCGACGUAAAAAGGAACUCACUAACUCCAAAAGAAGCUUAUGCUCUGAUGAAGCCCAAACUGGUGUCAGUACAUCAGAUCAUGAAGGGUUAACUAUACACUGUGCUGCUUAAUGAACGAAGUAAAAUAAUGGGCGUUCGCUUAUGUAAUACACAGACGAGGUGCGCUAUCUUGUCAGGAAAACUACAUGUUUUCCGGGCAGUGUGUAAAACACGUUCCCUUCUGAUGUAAUUUAGUCAACCGACACCAGUCCUGACAAUGGUCUCCGGUUGAAACAGCUGAGUGUUACUCUAGCUAUGUGAUAUCUUUGAAGAUUAUUAUCGUUUCGUCGUGAAUCAUGUUUUGUUUCUCUCCUGUAUAUGUGUUUCCCAAGUCAGAUAUGAAACAACAGAGAGGCUGGGGUCUUUGUUUCCUUGCAUGCAUCACAUUACUGUUUUAUUUUGACCUCAUCACAAGUAUAUUUGGAAUGUUUCAGCGGCAAAUACAUAGCCAUAAUUCUUUUGUGAAUGUAACGGUUAGCCUCAUCUACAAACGAACGAUAUUUGUAAUCUUAAUCUUGAUGCUAUGAUUUAUAGCUGAAUACAUGUCUGACCUACUUCAGCUCGGUGACACAGACGGCCAUUUUGUUGACAUGACAUACUACAACAGCAGUGUCAGCAUAC